UACGGGGGGGGCAAGCGUUGUUCGGAAUUACUGGGCGUAAAGGGCUCGUAGGCGGCCAACUAAGUCAGACGUGAAAUCCCCAGGCUCAACCUGGGAACUGCGUCUGAUACUGGAUGGCUUGAAUCCGGGAGAGGGAUGCAGAAUUCCAGGUGUAGCGGUGAAAUGCGUAGAUAUCUGGAGGAAUACCGGUGGCGAAGGCGGCAUCCUGGACCAUUACUGACGCUGAGGCGCGAAAGCUAGGGGAGCAAACGGG
rnacentral:rRNA from 1 species